GAUGAACGCUGGCGGCGUGCCUAAUACAUGCAAGUCGAGCGAACGGACGAGAAGCUUGCUUCUCUGAUGUUAGCGGCGGACGGGUGAGUAACACGUGGAUAACCUACCUAUAAGACUGGGAUAACUUCGGGAAACCGGAGCUAAUACCGGAUAAUAUUUUGAACCGCAUGGUUCAAAAGUGAAAGACGGUCUUGCUGUCACUUAUAGAUGGAUCCGCGCUGCAUUAGCUAGUUGGUAAGGUAACGGCUUACCAAGGCAACGAUGCAUAGCCGACCUGAGAGGGUGAUCGGCCACACUGGAACUGAGACACGGUCCAGACUCCUACGGGAGGCAGCAGUAGGGAAUCUUCCGCAAUGGGCGAAAGCCUGACGGAGCAACGCCGCGUGAGUGAUGAAGGUCUUCGGAUCGUAAAACUCUGUUAUUAGGGAAGAACAUAUGUGUAAAUAACUGUGCACAUCUUGACGGUACCUAACCAGAAAGCCACGGCUAACUACGUG
rnacentral:rRNA from 1 species